rnacentral:rRNA from 1 species
GACGAACGCUGGCGGCGUGCUUAACACAUGCAAGUCGAACGAAGAGCGAUGGAAGCUUGCUUCUAUCAAUCUUAGUGGCGAACGGGUGAGUAACGCGUAAUCAACCUGCCCUUCAGAGGGGGACAACAGUUGGAAACGACUGCUAAUACCGCAUACGAUCUAACCUCGGCAUCGAGGAUAGAUGAAAGGUGGCCUCUACAUGUAAGCUAUCACUGAAGGAGGGGAUUGCGUCUGAUUAGCUAGUUGGAGGGGUAACGGCCCACCGAGGCGAUGAUCAGUAGCCGGUCUGAGAGGAUGAACGGCCACAUUGGGACUGAGACACGGCCCAGACUCCUACGGGAGGCAGCAGUGGGGAAUCUUCCGCAAUGGACGAAAGUCUGACGGAGCAACGCCGCGUGAGUGAUGACGGCCUUCGGGUUGUAAAGCUCUGUUAAUCGGGACGAAAGGCCUUCUUGCGAAUAGGGAGAAGGAUUGACGGUACCGGAAUAGAAAGCCACGGCUAACUACGUG